UUUCUUUGUUUUAUUGUUUCUUUUAGGAUGGCUGAUAUUAGACAUGCAUGUGCAUACAGCAAAGGGAGUAACCCAAUAGUGAGGAAGAAAUUGAUGCUGUAGGAGAGAGGGAAUAAUUGCCGAAGCAAAGAUCUUGAGGUACUGAGAAAGGAUGACCUUAAUUUCCUUAAUGAUGCAGCCUGCUUCCACCGAGGGAACUGAAGGCUCCUUGAGCAAAAUUAUCUACCUGUUCACCUUUGGAUCUUUCACAGUUCCCAGUCUGAAAUCCUAGAAAUGCUAAGAUCUCAGGACAUCUAUGCUAAGCCCAGAAAACACUGACGAGCUUUUCCGUUCCUG